rnacentral:rRNA from 1 species
GACGAACGCUGGCGGCGUGCUUAACACAUGCAAGUCGAACGGAAAGGCCCUGCUUUUGUGGGGUGCUCGAGUGGCGAACGGGUGAGUAACACGUGAGUAACCUGCCCUUGACUUUGGGAUAACUUCAGGAAACUGGGGCUAAUACCGGAUAGGAGCUCCUGCUGCAUGGUGGGGGUUGGAAAGUUUCGGCGGUUGGGGAUGGACUCGCGGCUUAUCAGCUUGUUGGUGGGGUAGUGGCUUACCAAGGCUUUGACGGGUAGCCGGCCUGGGAGGGGGACCGGCCACAUUGGGACUGAGAUACGGCCCAGACUCCUACGGGAGGCAGCAGUGGGGAAUAUUGCACAAUGGGCGGAAGCCUGAUGCAGCAACGCCGCGUGCGGGAUGACGGCCUUCGGGUUGGAAACCGCUUUCGCCUGUGACGAAGCGUGAGUGACGGUAAUGGGUAAAGAAGCACCGGCUAACUACGUG